UGUCCAAGGAUGGGAAACGAACCCACAAUAUUCCGCUUACCGGGCAGAUACCAUGCCCACUAGACCACUAAACUACCUGGAC
rnacentral:tRNA from 1 species